rnacentral:RNase_P_RNA from 1 species
UAUUUUGGGUAAUCGCUAUAGUGAUAUAGAGGAAAGUCCAUGCUCACACAGUCUGAGAUGGCUGUAGUGUUCGUGCUUGAUGAAACAAUAAAUCAAGGCAUUAAUUUGACGGCAAUGAAAGAAAUAUAAAAGGUGGAACGCGGUAAACCCCUCGAGUGAGCAAUCCAAAUUAGGUAGGAGCACUUGUUUAGCGGAAUUCAACGUAUAAACGAGACACAUGCAUAUAUUUGUUAUGUGUAGACAGAUGGUUACCACCAACGUACCAGUGUAACUAGUGCACGUGAUGAGUACAAUGGAACAGAACAUGGCUUACAGAA